UAGAGUUUGAUCCUGGCUCAGAACGAACGCUGGCGGCGCGCUUAACACAUGCAAGUCGAACGGUCCCGAUAAAGCCGUAAGGUGAUAUCGGGGUAGUGGCAAACGGGUGAGUAAUACGUGGAUAAUCUACCUUUGAGUGGGGGAUAACUCUACGAAAGUGGAGCUAAUACCGCGUAAGACUACAGAAUCGCAUGAUUCAGUAGUAAAAGGCUUCGGUUUACCGGAGUCGCUUAAGGAUGAGUCCGCGCCUGAUUAGCUAGUUGGUAAGGUAAUAGCUUACCAAGGCAACGAUCAGUAGCCGGCCUGAAAGGGUGUUCGGCCACAUUGGAAUUGAGAUACGGUCCAGACUCCUACGGGAGGCAGCAGUGGGGAAUUUUGCGCAAUGGGGGAAACCCUGACGCAGUGACGCCGCGUGAACGAUGAAGUCCUUCGGGAUGUAAAGUUCUGUCAGGCGGGAAGAAUCUUUCCCCGAUGCAAAUCGGGGGAGAAUGACGGUACCGCCAGAGGAAGCACCGGCUAAUUCCGUGCCAGCAGCCGCGGUAACACGGAGGGUGCAAGCGUUGUUCGGAAUUACUAGGCGUAAAGAGCGUGUAGGUGGUUAGCUAAGUCGGAUGUGAAAAUCCCAAGCUUAACUUGGAACGUGCAUUCGAAACUGGUUAACUUGAGUGUAGGAGAGGAGAGCGGAAUUCCUAGUGUAGCGGUGAAAUGCGUAGAUAUUAGGAAGAACACCGGUGGCGAAGGCGGCUCUCUGGCCUAAAACUGACACUGAGACGCGAAAGCGUGGGUAGCGAACAGGAUUAGAUACCCUGGUAGUCCACGCCGUAAACGAUGGGCAUUAGGUGUAGGAGGUAUCCAAUCCUUCUGUGCCGAAGUUAACGCAUUAAAUGCCCCGCCUGGGGAGUACGACCGCAAGGUUGAAACUCAAAGGAAUUGACGGGGGCCCGCACAAGCGGUGGAGCAUGUGGUUUAAUUCGAUGCAACGCGAAGAACCUCACCUGGGCUUGACAUGUACUCGAAUGUGCCAGAAACGGUACAGUCCGAAAGGACGGGUACACAGGUGCUGCAUGGCUGUCGUCAGCUCGUGUCGUGAGAUGUUGGGUUAAGUCCCGCAACGAGCGCAACCCUCAUUCUUAGUUACCAUCGGGUAAUGCCGGGG
rnacentral:rRNA from 1 species